CGAUCUGUGCAAGGGGCGCCACUGUGCACUGUGGAUUGGAUUGGAGCUCUAUACAUUUGCGAACAAGUCUGUGGUGUUUGUGUUUCCCUCCAUGUUUCGAUGUGUAAGCCCCAGCUGCAUAGACAAUGGACCGCAGAACGACCGACAUGGAUAUUACAAAACAGAAAUACAUGGUUAUUGCCACAGAGCAGAAGGGCACCCCCAGAGUCACGUACUGAGGAAGUGGGGGUGGCCAAAGAGACGAUAAUAAUAAAAUAUACCGGGAAAAAGGUGGAUCACUCAUCGAUCGGGCCCUGUCUGCAAC